AUUUUUUAGGAACCUCCAUACUGUUUUCCAGAGUGGCUGCACCAGUUUACAUUCCCACCAACAGUGCGUGAGUGUUGUGUUUUUUCUCUGCAUCCUCCCCAGCACUUGUUAUUUCUUGUCUUUGAUAGGGUUCUGACAGGUAUGAGGUGAUAUCUGAUUGUCAUUUUGAUUCAGAUUUCUCUGAUGAGUAUUGAUACUGAGCAUCUUCCGUGUAUCUGUUGAUGUAAUAGACACUCCUACCUCAUUCCUUCGCCUUUCCCUUUUAGUCUUUCCAGGGUGAUGACGACACCAAGGCCUCUGAAAGAUUAACUCCCCAUUUGAAUCUUCCAUCAACAGUUCUCUGCGUGUGUGGAGUGGGCCAGGCUGGAGGCCUGCAUGUUUCCAGAUUCUUGACCCAGCUGUAUAUGGAAGCCUGAGAUCUUCCAAACAUGAAGCAGAAGGUCAAAGGAGCUCUCGCCCUACCAGACCUGCUUACAUUUCCCUGAAAACAUUGCUGUAGCAAUCCAAGGCCAACCGAUCCAUCAAGAGCAGCAGUUUUCUUGAGAACAGAAGUGUGAAUUAUUUGUAGCAUGUAACGUCUUGCUUCAUAUCCACCUGUUGGGUCCGCAGACAUCUGUGGACCCUCCGUUACCAGCAGGCCUGUGAUAAGUGUUGUAUGAGAGAUACAAAGAUGAAUCAGGUACGGGCAUAUCUUGUUUUAUUGCUGUGCUUUAUUGUGCUUCACAGAUUUU
rnacentral:lncRNA from 1 species